rnacentral:rRNA from 1 species
UACGGAGGAUGCAAGCGUUAUCCGGAAUGAUUGGGCGUAAAGCGUCCGCAGGUGGCGAUGUAAGUCUGCUGUUAAAGAGUGAGGCUCAACCUCAUAAGAGCAGUGGAAACUACAUAGCUAGAGUACGUUCGGGGCAGAGGGAAUUCCUGGUGUAGCGGUGAAAUGCGUAGAUAUCUGGAGGAACACCGGUGGCGAAGGCGGCAUCCUGGACCGGUAUUGACACUGAAAAGCGAAAGCCAGGGGAGCAAACGGG